rnacentral:rRNA from 1 species
AGUGAACGCUGGCGGUAGGCCUAACACAUGCAAGUCGAACGGCAGCACAGUAAGAGCUUGCUCUUACGGGUGGCGAGUGGCGGACGGGUGAGGAAUACAUCGGAAUCUACUUUUUCGUGGGGGAUAACGUAGGGAAACUUACGCUAAUACCGCAUACGACCUACGGGUGAAAGCAGGGGAUCUUCGGACCUUGCGCGAUUGAAUGAGCCGAUGUCGGAUUAGCUAGUUGGCGGGGUAAAGGCCCACCAAGGCGACGAUCCGUAGCUGGUCUGAGAGGAUGAUCAGCCACACUGGAACUGAGACACGGUCCAGACUCCUACGUGAGGCAGCAGUGGGGAAUAUUGGACAAUGGGCGCAAGCCUGAUCCAGCCAUACCGCGUGGGUGAAGAAGGCCUUCGGGUUGUAAAGCCCUUUUGUUGGGAAAGAAAAGCAGCAGGUUAAUACCCCGCUGUUCUGACGGUACCCAAAGAAUAAGCACCGGCUAACUUCGU